UGUGCAAGUAGGUUUUAUAUGACUUCUAGAACAGGAAUUGCAUUUCUUGACUUCUCAAUGGAUAGAGGAAGGAAUAGAAGAAGGGAGAAAAUUUGGAACUGAAAACAAAAACAAGAAAAUGAAUGACAGUCAAGAAAACCUGCAGUGCAUUAGUGUGCCUGUCGUCUACUAUCCCCUUCAGCAUUGAUUAUUCCCAACUUGCAUCCUUUUUUACAGUUUGCUGGAUUGGAGGUAAAAGCUCUCCUUUGUUUUGAUUUACCUUUUUCUUAUCUUUCAUGAGUAGUUAAUAGUUUGUGAUUCUCAUUUUGAUCAUUGUUUUGGAGAAUAGCUUUUGAUCUUACAUAUGUAAUACAGAUAUGUCCACAUUGGUCGAAACGUGCGGAUGUGACUAAUGGGUGGCAUGGAUCACUAUGAACUCGGGCUUGGCUCACCAUUGUGAAGAGGAGAACAAAAUGGCAGUAUUUGUCCUGCUUAGCGCACUAACUGAGGGGGAAGAGGACAUCGAGUCUGGGCACUUUAUUUCAAUGUCUGAGACAAGUAGCAACCUUCAAUUAAAUGAAAUGUCUUCCAUAUCUCAAAUUUCCAAUGGGUAGAGAAUCAAAGAUAAAGGAUAACUCUGAUCACCUUUGAGAUCCCCAAGUUAGCUCUUUCUUACCAGUUUCUGGGUAUACAAAAGACACAUAAAGAAUAUCAAGAAAACCCAUUCAUCUAAUAAGCAGAACUUGGAGAAGUGAUGCAGAUUAGUGAAGGAAUCCUUCAGCUAGGAGUGGGGUAAUUCCAGCUUGAGCAGGGCAGAAAGAAAGCGUAAUGUCCCAUGGAAGAAGUUUAUUACCCUGGAAGGAAAUAUCUUGGAAUUGGAGGAAUAAAACCUCUGCCUCUUUAUUCUGCCUUGACCAGAGGCCAACUUUGUAAACUUUGGAAUGUCAGAGAAUUUGUACUUUAUAAUCCAUGUCGUAACACGUUCCAGGGAAAACUAUUCCUGGAAGCAUCGCUAACAUUGGGAGUCAAAGACAGACUAUAUGCACUUAGGAAGGGCAGCUUCAGUACUCUCUGUGAAGCCCAGAAAACAAUUCUACAUUGUGCUCAUCAAGAAAAUCCUGGGAACUCCAGGAAGGAGAGGAGUCGUGUGAGUCAUCUGCUUUAUUCCAUGUGGAGGACACUUGCGAGGCAGGUUGUAGAACUUCUGUGUAUCACUAGAAUCAUUGACUCACAGAUCCAGUGCAGGAAAGGAGCGUGGAAGCCUAAUCCAAAGCCUUCAUUUCACAGGUGACAUCUGAACUAGUCCUAUUUAAUAUCCGACUCAUCCAAGCUGUAACCGAAAUAAAAGCAUGCAGUGCAACAGCAAUGAGGCACAUCUGCUAGCCAGAACUAGCCAAGCCACUCAUUCCACUUCCAAGCUCUCCUCAGGAUGCAACAUCUCUGAUGGGUAGAUCAUUCUGUUGUUUUCUGGGUUUAUUCUUUGAUGGUCAGCUGCAGUCUUUUUCCUUCUUCAGUUACUUCAGUCCUCUGGACCAAAGGACACAACCCUCCUUAAAGCCGGACUGUUAUGAUGCUCUUUUGAGCUUGAGUGGGACAAAAGGUCGUUUAGCUAGUACAAUGACUCUUGUUAGGACUGCCAGCAACUUUUCCCCUUUGAGCCCCUCAGUACUUUAGUUGGCUUAUUGUUAGUCAACUCUACCUGGAUGUCUUGCCUUCCACAGUUUUUCUAUUCUAAAGCCCCUUCUCUGUAAACAAUUCCUUGUUCCCAUUGGUUGCUUCCCGUACUCUGGAAAAUCUUAUGUAGGUUGGUGACUAGGGACAAUCGUGCAAAUACCUGGAAAGCAGCAAGCACUUAAUAAAUGUUUGUCGACUGACCAGCGAACUAAAUGAGAUCACUGAGUGGACAGACACCCCCUUAUCACUGCAGCUUGUUCCUCUUAGAGAUUUAAAAUCUUUAGAGGGAGAGUACUGUCCCUAUCAUUCGCCUGUCCGGUCCAUAUUGUAAGUCCGCACGACAACACAAGCUCUAUUUCUGCCUCUUUUUCAUUUUUGGAUCAAGUCACCUCAAUGGAUUUCCUACCUUUUACUAAGAAAUAGAAGAUACUUCCUAGAGCUGUAAAUUCCUUAAAUGGGCAGAGACUUUAUUUUAUUUAUCCUCUGCCUUUAUCAGUGCCUUACAGAGCAAGUUAGACACGGCGAGUACUUUAAUCAAGGCGUGUUGAGUGAAUAUAACGCUACUAUUCUUUCUCGUCUAGCCAAUGUGUCCAUUCAUUGCCAGAAUUCAGUAAUGAUUCUCAUUCCAUUUCAAUAAGCCUUAAUGGUACUUGUCUCUAUUUUUCUCCUUGUGCUAACAUUUCACGUUCACGUUUACACACUGCCCAGGUUAUAUGGAUAUCGGAAAUAAAAAAUGGAGGCCCUCUCCUGUUUAAUGUGUUCCUGGGUGCACCUCUCUCUGCUACUGCUCUUUGUGGUGGCAGCGAGCAGUGCACCUCACUCACAUCUAAUCCAUUCUCUGUUGCUAGGUUAUUCAAGAAACACAGAAGUCCAAAAGCAAAAUCAAUUAGUGCUGACAUGAAACAACACGCACGGAAGGGAAUCAGGGAGUCAAAAAACUUCCUAAGCAUCUGUACACAAAUAAUAACAGUGCAUCUCUGCCCUGAGUAGGAGCCCCUUGAAGUGGUUGCUUAUACUCAAAGGCUGUUUAAAAUGAUCAUUGUGUAAAACAUGGUAUUUGAUCCACCUUAAUGAAACUAUGCAGUGGAAAUUAAAAUGCUACUCCUACUUCCUUAUUAUUUGGACUAAUCAGGACCUAGCAGUCUCUUGGGGUGGGGGGAGGAAUGAUCUAAUUCCUCCUUAGUUUAUAUGAUUCUCCAAUAUGGCCCCAGUGGUAAGCUCUUAGGGUAUGCGGGGGAGGCUAGCAUAAUCAUUUUCAAAGGGAAUCUGUACAAUAGGAAAAAAGCAAUAUUAAAAAAAAACCUGCUGUGAAGUAUUUCAUUUUUGUGAUUCUUUCACAAUUUACAGAAGAAAUGGCACAUGAGGGAAGUUUUCUUUUCUUUGGAGAAUCAUAAAUAAAAUCGUGGUGUAAUCAAAGGACUGAAGAAAAAAGAGACUUCAGCUUUCCCCUCCUGGAACCUCUUACAGAGGCUCUGGCACUCCAAACCAGUGUCUUGGAAGUCGCCUGGCCCACUUCAGGGGAAGAUAUACUCCUGACAGCUCAAGCUGACUCCAUGAACACAUUUGGAGAGUGAGUUGCUUGUGGAAAUGUGAUGGCUGGGAUCCAGAGUACUAUUCUUUCUUCUCCUCAUUGUGGGUUAAUUGGAUAUGCGCAAUGUUGCUUCAGGUCGUGUAUCCGGUUUGAUCUGAGCUUGGAAAAUGGCAUAAAACCCUGGUGCAACUGUGUUAUGCCAGGAAUGUUUGAUGGACAGGUCAAGCUACUCAGGAGGGGAAGGGAAUGAACUUCCUUGACACAAUAUCUUUUUGUCACAUGAUGCCUUUUUUAAUGGGGAUGGAAGGAGGAGAGGGAGUUUACUUGGCAGUUUUUUUAACUUGGCAUUUUAAUGUAACA